rnacentral:rRNA from 1 species
UGUGCUAAUACCGCAUAAUCUCUCAGGAGAAAAGCAGGGGAUCGCAAGACCUUGCGCUUUAGGAGCGGCCGAUGCCUGAUUAGCUUGUUGGUAAGGUAAAAGCUUACCAAGGCUCCGAUCAGUAGCUGGUCUGAGAGGACGACUAGCCACACUGGGACUGAGACACGGCCCAGACUCCUACGGGAGGCAGCAGUGGGGAAUUUUGGACAAUGGGGGAAACCCUGAUCCAGCCAUGCCGCGUGAGUGAAGAAGGCCUUCGGGUUGUAAAGCUCUUUCAGCCGGAACGAAACGGU